AAAUUACUCCCUCCGUUCCGAUUUACUUGUCGCAAGUAUAGAUGUAUCUAGAUGUAUUUUAGUUCUAGAUACAUCAAUUUCUGCAACGAGUAAUUUGAGACGGAGGAAGUAGAAA
rfam:Triticum aestivum genome assembly, contig: Triticum_aestivum_CS42_TGACv1_scaffold_210495_3AS